AAAUUGAAGAGUUUGAUCAUGGCUCAGAUUGAACGCUGGCGGCAGGCCUAACACAUGCAAGUCGAGCGGUAGCACAGAGAGCUUGCUCUCGGGUGACGAGCGGCGGACGGGUGAGUAAUGUCUGGGAAACUGCCUGAUGGAGGGGGAUAACUACUGGAAACGGUAGCUAAUACCGCAUAAUGUCGCAAGACCAAAGUGGGGGACCUUCGGGCCUCAUGCCAUCAGAUGUGCCCAGAUGGGAUUAGCUAGUAGGUGGGGUAACGGCUCACCUAGGCGACGAUCCCUAGCUGGUCUGAGAGGAUGACCAGCCACACUGGAACUGAGACACGGUCCAGACUCCUACGGGAGGCAGCAGUGGGGAAUAUUGCACAAUGGGCGCAAGCCUGAUGCAGCCAUGCCGCGUGUGUGAAGAAGGCCUUCGGGUUGUAAAGCACUUUCAGCGGGGAGGAAGGCGUUAAGGUUAAUAACCUUGGCGAUUGACGUUACCCGCAGAAGAAGCACCGGCUAACUCCGUGCCAGCAGCCGCGGUAAUACGGAGGGUGCAAGCGUUAAUCGGAAUUACUGGGCGUAAAGCGCACGCAGGCGGUCUGUCAAGUCGGAUGUGAAAUCCCCGGGCUCAACCUGGGAACUGCAUUCGAAACUGGCAGGCUAGAGUCUUGUAGAGGGGGGUAGAAUUCCAGGUGUAGCGGUGAAAUGCGUAGAGAUCUGGAGGAAUACCGGUGGCGAAGGCGGCCCCCUGGACAAAGACUGACGCUCAGGUGCGAAAGCGUGGGGAGCAAACAGGAUUAGAUACCCUGGUAGUCCACGCCGUAAACGAUGUCGAUUUGGAGGUUGUGCCCUUGAGGCGUGGCUUCCGGAGCUAACGCGUUAAAUCGACCGCCUGGGGAGUACGGCCGCAAGGUUAAAACUCAAAUGAAUUGACGGGGGCCCGCACAAGCGGUGGAGCAUGUGGUUUAAUUCGAUGCAACGCGAAGAACCUUACCUGGUCUUGACAUCCACAGAACUUUCCAGAGAUGGAUUGGUGCCUUCGGGAACUGUGAAACAGGUGCUGCAUGGCUGUCGUCAGCUCGUGUUGUGAAAUGUUGGGUUAAGUCCCGCAACGAGCGCAACCCUUAUCCUUUGUUGCCAGCGGUUAGGCCGGGAACUCAAAGGAGACUGCCAGUGAUAAACUGGAGGAAGGUGGGGAUGACGUCAAGUCAUCAUGGCCCUUACGACCAGGGCUACACACGUGCUACAAUGGCAUAUACAAAGAGAAGCGACCUCGCGAGAGCAAGCGGACCUCAUAAAGUAUGUCGUAGUCCGGAUUGGAGUCUGCAACUCGACUCCAUGAAGUCGGAAUCGCUAGUAAUCGUAGAUCAGAAUGCUACGGUGAAUACGUUCCCGGGCCUUGUACACACCGCCCGUCACACCAUGGGAGUGGGUUGCAAAAGAAGUAGGUAGCUUAACCUUCGGGAGGGCGCUUACCACUUUGUGAUUCAUGACUGGGGUGAAGUCGUAACAAGGUAACCGUAGGGGAACCUGCGGUUGGAUCACCUCCUUA
rnacentral:rRNA from 1 species